GUGCCAGCAGCCGCGGUAAUACAGAGGGUGCGAGCGUUGUCCGGAAUCACUGGGCGUAAAGGGCGCGUAGGCGGCCUGGUAAGUACGGGGUGAAAUCUCACGGCUCAACCGUGAGGCUGCCUCGUAGACUGCCGGGCUUGAGCAGAGCAGAGGCUAGCGGAAUUCCCGGUGUAGCGGUGGAAUGCGUAGAGAUCGGGAAGAACAUCGGUGGCGAAGGCGGCUAGCUGGGCUCUUGCUGACGCUGAUGCGCGACAGCGUGGGGAGCAAACAGGAUUAGAUACCCUCGUAGUCC
rnacentral:rRNA from 1 species